rnacentral:rRNA from 1 species
UACGGAGGGUGCGAGCGUUGUCCGGAAUCACUGGGCGUAAAGGGCGCGUAGGCGGCCUGAUAAGUAGGGGGUGAAAUCCUGCGGCUUAACCGCAGGGCUGCCUUCUAAACUGUCAGGCUUGAGCACAGUAGAGGCAGGUGGAAUUCCCGGUGUAGCGGUGGAAUGCGUAGAGAUCGGGAAGAACACCUGUGGCGAAAGCGGCUCACUGGACCAUAACUGACGCUGAUGCACGAAAGCUAGGGGAGCAAACAGG